rnacentral:rRNA from 1 species
UACGAGGGGGGCGAGCGUUGUUCGGAAUUAUUGGGCGUAAAGGGUGCGUAGGCGGUUUUGUAAGUCUUAUGUGAAAUCUAUGGGCUCAACUCAUAGGCUGCAUGAGAAACUGCAGGGCUUGAGUAUGGGAGAGGUGAGUGGAAUUCCUGGUGUAGCGGUGAAAUGCGUAGAUAUCAGGAGGAACACCUGUGGCGAAAGCGGCUCACUGGACCAUAACUGACGCUGAUGCACGAAAGCUAGGGGAGCAAACAGG